AACGCACGAGACCUGCGGACCUGCGGAAGGAUCAUUAGUGAAAUAACCUGGGACUUUAUGUCCCAAACCAUCUCACAUCUACACACAUCUGUGCACCGUUGGACAGACCUAGAUACUAAGGGCCUUUAAAGGCAUUAGUUUUAUUUCUGGGUUGGGUCCUUUUAAUAUAUAAACGUUGUAUGUAUGUAUGGCAAGUGAUUGAAUAAAUGAAAUUAAAACUUUCAACAACGGAUCUCUAGA
rnacentral:misc_RNA from 1 species